AAGGAAUUAACAACCCUUGGUACUGGCAAUUAUCAGUAAUGAUGCCGCAAUCUAAGCUAAAUGUAAUUUGCACGUGGAGUUGCAAAGCACGGGCGAAAACUAGCGAAGACGUUAAUAUCGGUACUAUGUGAAGAGCGGCAUACGAUUCCGAGUAAAUUGCUCCGGUUGAACUAAUUGGGACUGGAGGAAUUCUGAUUGUUUCGUAUCAACAACUGUUAGAAGUCGAAGACGGUGUUCUGUUUGACACAAAACACAAGCAUUUCAUUGAAAUGGAUAGAGAAGGUCCUCAUAAAAAGUAACAUGUAUUUUUUGGAGUGUGCCCCAAGGCUGUGACUUGGGCCACACGGAUGGCGUGAGCGUCCACCGUCUCGGGAGAUUACAGUGCGUUGGCAUUUGUUCAACAGUAAGGAUACAUGAAUGAAAGUGCACUGUUGGUAUUCAUUAAUGCGUCUGACACUUCGGAAGUUAUCGACGCUGAUAGACGGAUGUCCGUGCUACUAAAACGAUAAUUAUCUUAAUUGUUGCAACGUGUUUCGGAUUGAGCUAUUUACGGUCGUUCAGGUUUAUUGAAUGGGCUCGCUAAAGCCGGUCCAGUUUCAUUACUGGGUACUCGGCAUACCAGCGAUAUGUGCUUUUCUAAAAAGUGGGUGUUUAGUUUAAUAAAGUUGUUUGUGGAUGUUGUAAAAGUUCAAUUAUACUCGAGCUCAAUUUCUUUUCUGAGACUCCAGGUUAUAAUAUUUUUUAUUGAUUAUUGUUUUUUUUUUUCAGUUUGCUUUAUCCAAUUAAAUUGAUCAAACAACGUUCUCAGGAUUCACACUGAAACUACGUACCAUCAUACCAAUCACAAAAAUGUUUAUAUUAAUAACAGAAACGCUUUAAAAGUCUCGAACAGGUCCUUGAUAAUACUUAUAUUGAACAAAAACAGUUCUGCUGAAAAAGGCGACGGCGCAAGAUGGUGCGCUUGUUUCCCACGCAUGCGCACUGGGAACCUGCGGCGAACGCGCACAUGUGCUCGUUUACGCGGGAAAACUCGCCUUGGAACGCGUCGUUCUUUUUUCAAAUUAAAUUUGUGUCAGAGUCAUCAUAAACAAUAUGUGUAAACAAACUUUGAGUUAUUAGGUUAAGGAGUUUGGUUUUAAAAAGGUUUUUAUCAAUCGUUUUAAGUGUGUUCUUUCGAAGUUAUUUAUUUAGGUACUUCAUAUUUUUUUAUAGCAGUUCAAUAAAGAAUACAGUAACAUUCCAAUAAGCUGGCACUUUAAUAUUUUAAUGAUAAUUUGGACAAAAUUACAACUGCGUGCCAAAAUAAACUUUUUAGAUCCGAAAUCCAAGAAGAAAAAUGUAUCUCAAUAACUAUCUCUGACAUGUUUUUAAUGUAUAUCAUGGUAAGCGAGGCCGUCCCGGGCGGACAUCGAACUGGCACCGUCUCACCGUUAUGAUAACCUGUUCUCUCUCAUUAGUUCGACGGACAUCUUACAAUGUAAUUGCAAUUUAUCUCCUGUUUGUAAUGAGCACUACUGUUAGAGUGCGUAGUAUUUUUUCAAAGAAAGAAUUUACAACUGGAUUAGAUAAGCCAUUUGAAAAAAGCUGUUGUAUAGUCAACGGGUAAAUGUACAAAAGAGGUUCAAUAGGUUGGUCAUAUUGUUUGUUUUUUUUCUUGGCGAUGACGUAUGUUUGUAAUUUUUACAUCUGACAGUUUAAAAUAAUUUAUUUGUCAAUCGGUAGUCCAAAUGCAAGGCACGAUAAUUAUGAUGCUGGCAACUUGCGACAGCUGAAAGUAGGUGAAAUGUACAGUAAAGUCCUUACCACUUUAUCGGUCUAUAAAAUAUUAUAUUACAGAGCUCUCGAAGAAAUAAGAAAUUGUGAAUCUUCAAGUACGUAUGAUCUACGGAACAUUGGAUUUCUUGUGUACGACUCCUCAAGAAUCAACCCGGUGACCCAAUAUUAGAAACGACUAUAGUGUCAAUCGAAACAAUUGAAUACAAAACGGAAGCUUUCAUUGCUGUGUUUAUUGAUACGUGUUUCGAUCACCGCCUGCUCCACGCGUCAUUGGCGAUAACCCAACCAGUAAGAUCCGAUGCAAGUCCAAAAACAAAAAACGGAGGAAGUAGCUGGCUGGCAGUAAAAAAAUCAAAUUAUCAUCAUAGUUCGCAAAUGAAGACUACGUUCCACACUCAAACUGACAAUUAAACUUUUUUAAUUCUGGAAUAAGUUACGAAGAUUCGAGUCGAGAAAAUCACAGAGUGUGUAAUUCCUCAGAGCUUGCGUGAAAUGAACUAUCGUAUUUUGCAAACGUAACGUAUAAUUUGUACCUUGCUACUUGUAACGUCUAGAACUUUUAAGUGCAUAUUAUUACGAGUAUCCGUUUACCAGCAAAAGUGUAUGUUUUACGCACUUCUAUCGCGAGAGGGCUGGAGUUGUAAUGACUAAAUUCCUGAAUUAUGUAAUCGUCUGAACCAUGAAGGCUUUGCGUUUUUAUGUGGAAUAUCUAGUAAUUUUCUAUAUUGUGAUUUAGUCAAGAAAACUUCUUGCUAAUAAAAGCACAUAUUUAAAGUUUAUGUGUUUUAAUAAAAUGUAAUUGAUCUAAAAACGUACAUGAAAUAAAAGUUAAAUUUAGAAUCACCGAAAUAAAACUUAGAAUGAUUGAUAAAGCAAGGAGUUCAAAUUCAUUGACCUGCAAUCUAGUCUGAAAGAUAAGUACCAAAACUUACUCACUUUCUAUAAAUAAUCAAUCGUACAAUAGUAAAAAGUACGUCGAUUAGUAAAAAAAACAGUCGUGAGGCCAUCUCGUAGGGAGCCAAGUAAGCGUGACCGUGCAAUGGGGCCGCGUGCGAAUUGCCGGCUAACUGAUUACUGUGGAACCGGUCGUAUCAAAAAUUCUACUACACAACGUAUUUUGGUGUCUGUUAAUCUGCUCCAAAAUGUAAACUUCAAGGCAAUUAUAUUUAUACACCAAGCUUGUAACAAAUACACCGAAAUCCAACUCAUUAGAAAUCAAUACCAAAUGUCUGGAUGCGCACAAUUGGCUAGUAUCUAGUAAAAGUUUAAACUAAUCACCAAAACAAAUGACUUUACUACACGAACGAUCUAUCACAACAGCAAUCUAGAUUAAUUUAUUUACAUUGUUCCUAACUAUUAUGGGAAUAGCAGUCAGUAAUGUGAUUCACCAAUGAUUCCCGUUUAACGAAUGUGUAAAGAGCGUGAGUGAACUCGAUUGGUCAGCGGUCGCGUCGCGUCAUACGUUCUUUUUCUGAUUGGCUACCGAAAAAGCGAUGUGCGUAAUGUUAGUGCAAAUGUCAUUGCGCCGAUUGAUACUUUAACUUGAUUCCAAGUUGGAGGCUCUCUUUGAGGCUCUAUUAAAAUAUGUUUUUAAGAACUGCUGUCUUACUUAACCCUCAGGAGUAUACCAGUAGGAAGCAUAAUAAAUAAAUCGACAAAGAGAAUCGUAUCAAAUCGAAAAACUUCACUUAAGUCCAUCUUCAGUAGCGAACUUAUAAAUCCUCUUUGCAGAAUAAAGUCAAAAACUUUUCUCCCACAACAAAUUAGUUUUUGAGUCUACGUUUUGAUAUUACGAUCGUAAAACUAACACAGUCAAAUCACAUCAUGAUGUAAUGUUUUUAUUAAAACAUUGUUUAUAUGUACAACACAUUGUUUUCUCAUCAUGCAUCGCACAUGUAUGCUGUAUAUUAUUUCAUCGUUUAGUUUAUGUUAUGUAGGCUCGAAAGGUCGCUGACACAAACAAUUCUAUUGUAGAUGCUCAUUUGUUAUCGCAAGAUUAUGUUGUAUAAGCGAAUCGAGAGUCGGCUAUCAUAAUGACAUAUUGUUUAUGAAUUAUCGUCGUGUUCGACGCAAAUUAUAUUAACCUCUACUUAGAUGAUUUUUCUGUUGGCAGUAAUUGACGUUGUCGGUGCAAACUGAGAUUGAAAUGUAAAGUUUAUAAUUUGUAAUAAAACACCACUUAGAAAUAUUACAAGUUUUCCAUUUGUUGUAAAGUUCUUUUCAUCGAUAUCUCUAAUUGGUACACGCGCCACUUCAAGGCAAAUAAAUGAACAGCUUCAUCGCUUUGCCCUUCAACUAGUUAUAACUAGUGCUAUUUUACACGCGUAUUCUAUCAACCGUAGGCACUUUAAAGUUCAACAAAUCAUCUUGUGCAUGCACUUCGAAACUGAAGCAGAAGUUUCAAGUUCAACUUCUCGAAGUUUCUUAAAGUAAGUGAACUUUAAGUAACAAUCUAGGUAACGUUUACAAAAUCACAACGUGUUUGUAAAGGGUGUUCUGCACCGUCACACUUUGUCAACCUAAAUAUAUGUUUGGUUGACAGGAACAAUAAUUCAAAUAUAAUCGUUGGUUGCGUGUUUAAUUUGCAUUCGUAAGCUUCCAUUUAGUUCAAGGGACUUGCGUAGAGUUGAUAUGAGUUUUAGAUAUCAGAAGACGUUCCUGUUUGGGAAUCGUUCAUUGCGUUCGGUCAACUUUGUAUUUGUUUGAGGUAUUUUAAAUUUGAAUUGUGUUAAAGAUGGACAUUGGAGAUAUCGCCAUUUUGUGAUUGAUAAGUAUUUUUGUAAUACCUACUUAAUUGAUAUAUUUUUAAACUUUUCG